rnacentral:tRNA from 1 species
UCCUUGAUAGUUUAUUAGAACAUUGAUUUUGUAAAUCAAAAGUUUUCAAAGGA